rnacentral:rRNA from 1 species
CGUCUUUGUAGUCAAUGAUGAUUCAUUGUUUAUGGUAUCGUCCAUCGUUAUUAGGAAUGUUCUUGUACUACCGAUUUUAGUACUUAUCUAUACUACGUUCCAGAAAUCUGAAUUUGAAAUUGUAUUGUGUCCAGACUUCUACCAUUACUCCUAAAUCAUAGUGAGGGUGUUCGUACUUCAUUUCAGUAACUCCGAACCCAUAGAAUUCCUCUCCAGCGGAAGCCCACGAGUGGGGUUGUCUGCCUCUCUAGCGUCUCCAGCGGAAGCCCACGAGUGGGGUUGUCUGCCUCUCUAGCGUCUCCAGCGGAAGCCCACGAGUGGGGUUGUCUGCCUCUCUAGCGUCUCCAGCGGAAGCCCACGAGUGGGGUUGUCUGCCUCUCUAGCGUCUCCAACGGAAACCCACGAGUGGGGUUUCCCUUCUCUCCAGCGG